UACGUAGGGGGCUAGCGUUGUCCGGAAUCAUUGGGCGUAAAGAGCGUGUAGGCGGUCCGGUAAGUCCGCUGUGAAAGUCGGGGGCUCAACCCUCGAAUGCCGGUGGAAACUGUCGGGCUAGAGUGCGGAAGAGGCGAGUGGAAUUCCUGGUGUAGCGGUGAAAUGCGCAGAUAUCAAGGAGGAACAUCGGUGGCGAAAGCGGCGCGCUGGACCUCUUCUGACGCUGAGGCGCGAAAGCCAGGG
rnacentral:rRNA from 1 species